rnacentral:rRNA from 1 species
GGGCGUCUCUAUCUCAUUGCGAGAGGAGGCGCACCUAGAGCGUACACGCUGAUACCCGAAAGAUGGUGAACUAUGCCUGGCCAGGACGAAGCCAGGGGAAACCCUGGUGGAGGUCCGCAGCGAUUCUGACGUGCAAAUCGAUCGUCGGAGCUGGGUUUAGGGGCGAAAGACCAAUCGAACCAUCUAGUAGCUGGUUCCCUCUGAAGUUUCCCUCAGGAUAGCUUGCGCUCGGACGAGACGAGUCUCAUCCGGUAGAGCGAAUGAUUAGAGGCCUUGGGGUCGAAACGACCUCAACCUAUUCUCAAACUCCAAAUAGAUGAGAACCCUGGCUUUCUUGAAUUUUUCUAUGAAGCCAGGGGUUCGGAUCAGAGUGCCAAGUGGGCCAAUUUU